rnacentral:snRNA from 1 species
UUACUACUGUACAGGAGCACCCGUUGAUCAAAAGGCGUCUCCCCAGGUCUGAGCCUUUCCAUAGACUCCGUUAGGCUGAAGCCUCGAUUGCAAAUGUGGGCAGACAUCGGUACGCAUCUUUUUAGUUGGGGGACUGCGUUCGCGCUAUCCCCUG